rnacentral:rRNA from 1 species
GGGCCCGCACAAGCGGUGGAGCAUGUGGUUUAAUUCGACGCAACGCGAAGAACCUUACCAAGGCUUGACAUCCCUCUGACCGGACUUUAAUAGGUCCUUCUCUUCGGAGCAGAGGAGACAGGUGGUGCAUGGUUGUCGUCAGCUCGUGUCGUGAGAUGUUGGGUUAAGUCCCGCAACGAGCGCAACCCUUACUUCUAGUUGCUACCAUUAAGCUGAGCACUCUAGAGGGACUGCCGGUGACAAACCGGAGGAAGGUGGGGAUGACGUCAAAUCAUCAUGCCCCUUAUGUCUUGGGCUACACACGUGCUACAAUGGGCAGUACAGAGGGCUGCAAGACCGCGAGGUGGAGCAAAUCCCUUAAAGCUGUUCUCAGUUCGGAUUGCAGGCUGCAACUCGCCUGCAUGAAGUCGGAAUCGCUAGUAAUCGCAGGUCAGCAUACUGCGGUGAAUACGUUCCCGGGCCUU